rnacentral:hammerhead_ribozyme from 1 species
AUCCAGCUGACGAGUCCCGAAUAGGACAAACGUGAGUCCAGGAU